CAGUAGCCACGGUAAUGCGUAGGUGGCAAGCGUUGUCCGGAAUUAUUGGGCGUAAAGGGCUCGCAGGCGGUUUCUUAAGUCUGAUGUGAAAGCCCCCGGCUCAACCGGGGAGGGUCAUUGGAAACUGGGAAACUUGAGUGCAGAAGAGGAGAGUGGAAUUCCACGUGUAGCGGUGAAAUGCGUAGAGAUGUGGAGGAACACCAGUGGCGAAGGCGACUCUCUGGUCUGUAACUGACGCUGAGGAGCGAAAGCGUGGGGAGCGAACAGGAUUAGAUACCCGUGUAGUCCCUGUCUCUUAUAU
rnacentral:rRNA from 1 species